ACCCUUCAGCCCCUCCUCCCCUUGACCUCGGUUCCCUGGUUUCUUGAGGGGGCAGUGUGUGUGUGUGUGUGUGUGUGUGUGUGUGUGUGUGUGUUUAAAAAGUCCAGGAUUGAGGAGGGGCUGGACCCAGAAGAGAUGGGCUUGCAUACCUCCCCCAAAGGCUCCAGGCCUCCAGCCUCCAGCUGCCAUGCUCCAGUGCGGACAGACAAUCCGACGGGGACUGUGGGUGACUUGAAAGCAGGAAGACUCAGUUCACCACUGCAUCUCCCUGCACCAGAGAGGGACUCCCAAGUAUCCAUUAAAGUCAAGUGAGGGGUGCUGGCUGAA